rnacentral:rRNA from 1 species
CCCUUUGGGAAGAAAAUGCUAUUCUCAAAGACUAAGCCUGCACGUGCCAAGUUCAUACGAUCUUAUCGUGAGACUGCGGACGGCUCAGUAUAUCAGUGAUUAUCUGUUUGAUUGUCUUACCCAUUGGAUAACCGUGGGAAAUCUAGAGCUAAUACAUGCAAAUAAUUGGCGUUGCUGCAAGGCGCGCCAAAGCAUUUAUUAGACUUAACCAUCUACUGUGUGGCAACAUACAGUAAGGCGAAUCUAGAUAACUUUGCUGAUCGUAUGGCCUAGUGCCGACGACGUUUCAAUUGAGUUUCUGCCCUAUCAAUUUGUUGGUAAGGUAUUGGCUUACCAAGGUUGCAACGGGUAACGGGGAAUCAGGGUUCGAUUCCGGAGAGGGAGCCUGAGAAACGGCUACCACAUCCAAGGGAGGCAGCAGGCGCGCAAAUUACCCAAUCUAGACAGUAGGAGGUGGUGAAGAGAAGUACUUAGUGGUGACCAAAUGGUCCCAACUUGGAAUGAGGCCAAUUUAAGAAAUUCGUCGAGUAACUACUGGAGGGCAAGUCCUGGUGCCAGCAGCCCGCGGUAAUUCCAGCUUCCAGUGGCCGUGAUUUAAAGUUGCUGCGUUUAAAACGCUCGUAGUUGGAUCAUGCAGUGAUAUUCAGUGACAAUAAAUGGUACAUGUAUACCAUUUUUCUCCAACGAGUUUAUUGAAUCUGUACCAUUUUGCGUGUUUAUGCUGAAUGUUACUAUUUGCACACAAGUAUGGCAUUUGGCCUUUAGUGAGUUGAGUGUCAUGUCUUGUGGAGUGUGCCUUGAAUAAANCAG